GACCGCGUAGCUCAGUUGGAAGAGCAUUGGGCUAGUAUUCCAAAGGUCGUAGGUUCGAAUCCGACCGUGGCCG
rnacentral:tRNA from 1 species